GUGAACGCUGGCGGUAGGCCUAACACAUGCAAGUCGCACGGCAGCACAGUAAGAGCUUGCUCUUACGGGUGGCGAGUGGCGGACGGGUGAGGAAUACAUCGGAAUCUACUUUUUCGUGGGGGAUAACGUAGGGAAACUUACGCUAAUACCGCAUACGACCUACGGGUGAAAGCGGGGGAUCUUCGGACCUUGCGCGAUUGAAUGAGCCGAUGUCGGAUUAGCUAGUUGGCGGGGUAAAGGCCCACCAAGGCGACGAUCCGUAGCUGGUCUGAGAGGAUGAUCAGCCACACUGGAACUGAGACACGGUCCAGACUCCUACGGGAGGCAGCAGUGGGGAAUAUUGGACAAUGGGCGCAAGCCUGAUCCAGCCAUACCGCGUGGGUGAAGAAGGCCUUCGGGUUGUAAAGCCCUUUUGUUGGGAAAGAAAAGCAGCAGGUUAAUACCCCGCUGUUCUGACGGUACCCAAAGAAUAAGCACCGGCUAACUUCGUG
rnacentral:rRNA from 1 species